CAUAGUCUCCAACAGCUCUCAGAAGACAGCAACACGUGUGGAACAUGGCAGCCCGUGCAGUUAUGUUGGCAGUCCUGCUCGCGAUGAUGGUGACCGUCGCCGUGGCCGCAGUUGGAGGAGCUCGUGUCGCGAGAGAAGAAUCCCUGGUGACGGCAAACACUUUUGGUUUUGGCUUCGGAGGUUGGCCGUGGGGCGGCUGGCCAUACGGUUUCCCCGGAGCGUUCCCACAUCCAUACUUAGGCUGAGCUACCGUCAGGUGCCUGCAUGACAACGAUUGAAGAUAGUUUUGUAUUUAUCUUGUAAAGUUGUACUCUACAUUAAUCGAUUAAAAAAUUUACCUAUAA